rnacentral:rRNA from 1 species
ACCAGACUCCUACGGGAGGCAGCAGUGGGGGAUAUUGCACAAUGGGGGGAACCCUGAUGCAGCGACGCCGCGUGGGUGAAGAAGCGCCUCGGCGCGUAAAGCCCUGUCAGCAGGGAAGAAAAUGACGGUACCUGAAGAAGAAGCCCCGGCUAACUACGUGCCAGCAGCCGCGGUAAUACGUAGGGGGCAAGCGUUAUCCGGAUUUACUGGGUGUAAAGGGGGCGCAGACGGCGAUGCAAGCCAGGAGUGAAAGCCCGGGGCCCAACCCCGGGACUGCUCUUGGAACUGCGUGGCUGGAGUGCAGGAGGGGCAGGCGGAAUUCCUGGUGUAGCGGUGAAAUGCGUAGAUAUUAGGAGGAACACCAGUGGCGAAGGCGGCCUGCUGGACGGUGACUGACGCUGAGGCUCGAAAGCGUGGGGAGCAAACAGGAUUAGAUGCCCCCGUA